rnacentral:lncRNA from 1 species
GAACAAAGGAUAACCAUUUAAUUUCCUUAUCAGGUCCUCAGGGCGGCCAACUGACGGACAUCGAUUGACGGACAUCGAUUGACGGACAUCGAUUGACGGACAUCGAUUGGUGACAUCUACUAACUGUCCUGUCCACCCAUAGGCUUCGAAAUGGAAAAGAGGAGCUUGAGGGGGUCACAGUGUAGGGAGGAGGCGACCCAGGUCUUGGGUAUGGCAAUGCUGUCCACGAGAGGCCAGGUGCCCACUGGGAGAGGCUGGCCCCCGCCUGUCCUUCCCUCUGCUGCCCCACCUGCUGCACGGUGUGGGAGAGAGAAGGGGACCCAAGUAUGCAGAGGACGGGGUGGGCGGAAGUCAAGGGCCCUUAGUCCCGGUCCUCGUGACCCCAGAGCGAACCCACUGUCCACACUGGAGUUCCAGAGGGCGCCGGCUAGAGCUCCCCCAGGUGCACAGCCUGGGCCUGGGGCGUAUUCUGUGCUCACAGCGCACCCUACUGGCCGCCGGGGGAAGUUCACUAGGGACGAGCCGUUUAAAGGUUAAAUGAGGACGGGGGCCACCACCAGGACCCCUGAUGGACUGUUCAGGAGCCCAGGAGGCUUUCUUCUGCCUGCCCCUUCAAGAUGGCUUCGGCUGAAACUCGGGAGCCCUCCAGAGCCUGGUGACGUCAACACCUGGUGGCACCAGUGUUCAGGAUGACGGCUGCACAGAGCCACUGCCCGCCCACAGCUGUGUACCCGUGAGCCACCGCGGGGGUCCUGCUGUCACCCUCACUUCGGGAGGCCCCAGGGGCUGGGGCUAGCUCCCCAGGGCCCCCAGGGCAGGUGAGGGGGCAGCAGGAGCCAAACCCCAUCUCACCCAGAGGUCGGGCUGACUGGCUCCACCACGUCCCCCCCGUAUUCACAAGGACCAGGGCUCCGGCGGUGGCAGUUGAAGUCCUCUGUGACAGCCAGGUGUCUGCCACCUGGCAUGGCUGCAGCGGAGGUCUCACAGGAGCACAGGCUGUUGGCAGGGCACCUCCUGCCACGGGGUCACAGGGACCUGCCAGGCACAAGGGGCACAGGCCCUGGGACCCGGACAUCAGUCAGAGGGCCCAGAGGCACAGCCCGUGGCACCUGCCCGGAUGGAGCAGCGCCCUUGUUCCACUCAGGUGUGGCACCUCUUGUCACUCAGGUGUGGCACCUGUGCGGGGCACCGUGGCGCAGGUGGCUGUCAGGAGACGGGCGGCACUGUGGGUCUCAGGGUUCCGUAAAGGGUGCGAGGAGGAGGAGGGUAAGAGAGUUAAAGAGAGGUCAGCUUCGCCAGCGGCAGCGGCCAGAGAGGACUCCCGAGUGGCAGGAACCACUUCCCAGGCUGGCAGGAGAGUCCCCACUGACAGCAAGGCCAGGCCAUCGGCGAGGCCCGGAGAGGACCGGGCCUGAGCCCCAUAAAGACAGGGCUCCGUGCCGACGGGUCUCCUCUGUCCUGGCAUGGCAGGCGGGGGCAGCAGGAGCCGGCGCUGACCUGCUGCGGUCAGGGCUGGACCACGCACAGCCCAGAGGAGCCUCCUGAGCAGAGGCCCCGAGCGGACCUGCGGCGUCGAGUCAGGGAAGUGACUGAGCCCGGAGAACAGGGGCCUGGGACCUGCCCCGGGGAGGGGGGCGGCUAAGAUCACCCACUGACGCUCCUGGGGCCGGGAUGGCAGGAAGGCUCAUGUCCCAGUAUGGAACUCCCGUGUCACCUAACAUGCCACCGUGCCUCCCGUAGUGCAGCAGGCCCUCCCUGACCCUGCCUCGCCGUCACAGCGCUGAACUCCAGGAAUUCCCACCACAAGAAAACUUCCCUCCCUUUAAUGCAACAUUUCCUAAACUUGAACACAGACAAACUCUUUUUUAAAAAUAAUCAGCCUCACGUCCCGUGAGACACAAACCUCACGCAUUGGGAUGGAUCGUGAGAGGUAUUUCCCCCCAGGGUGGAGGUUUCCUUCCAGAACCUUCACUUACGACCUCCGAGACCCGCACCUCCACACGCAGCCUCCCCUCACCCCCUUCCCCACCGUAUUGAGUAUAAAGCUGGUGUCUGCAGGAAGAACAUUUCCCCAGCUGUGAAGACGUCACUUAGACACCCCCAGUCACCAUGGUCCUCCUGAAGAGAGGCUGACGGCUUUAUCAACAGACUCCAGGUUUUGGGGUCCUGACAAUGCAAUGGAAAUCAGACAUGCCACCUCAUUGACAGGCAGCUCUCUUGAUUCGUAAGUGCUUCAGACCUGGGAGGUGGUCAAACAGUGGCUCAGGAGCUAUCCUGCAACUUGAUAUGCAGCCCUGCCUCUCAGUAGAGCUCUGUGACUUUGGGCACGUUACAUCACCCCUCUGUUCUCAGCCUCCUCCUCUGACAUGGAAAUAACAUUAUCUCCAUCACUUAAGGAUUAAUGAGUUCGUUCAUGUACAGUGUUUCACAGAAAGAGUGGCAGUUAGUGAUUUGUGCUUCUGAAUUUGCACUUCUCAAGUUAACAAUAUGAAGUAUCACUUUAGAGGGAAACAAUAGGGUUUUUUUUUUUUUUUCCCUCUUAAAAAUAUUGCACGGUUGUUUUGGGGUCAUGAUAUCGCUAGGCAAUUUUGGCUGUCACUAAAAUGUAUCAGGGUAGUUUUUAAACUACUAACGUCAGCCAGGCGCGGUGGCACACGGCUGUCAUCCCAGCAUCUGGGGAGGCCGAGGCAGGAGGAUCAUAAGUUCAAAGCCAGCCUCAGCAGAAAGCGAUGUGCUAAGCAGCUCAGCGAGACCCUGUCUCUAAGUCAAUUUAAACAAGAAAAAGAAAGAAAAACGAAACAGGGCUGGGA